AUUGAACGCUGGCGGCAGGCCUAAUACAUGCAAGUCGAGCGGAUGAAGGGAGCUUGCUCCUGGAUUCAGCGGCGGACGGGUUAGUAAUGCCUAGGAAUCUGCCUGGUAGUCGGGGAUAACGUCCGGAAACGGGCGCUAAUACCGCAUACGUUCUGAGGGAGAAAGUGGGGGAUCUUCGGCCCUCACGCCAUCAGAUGAGCCUAGGUCGGAUUAGCUAGUUGGUGGGGUAAAGGCCUACCAAGGCGACGAUCCGUAACUGGUCUGAGAAGAUGAUCAGUCACACUGGAACUGAGACACGUUCCAGACUCCUACGGGAGGCAGCAGUGGGGAAUAUUGGACAAUUGGCGGAAGCCUGAUCCAGCCAUGCCGCGUGUGUGAAGAAGGUCUUCGGAUUGUAAAACACUUUAAGUUAGGAAGAAGAGCAGUAAGUUAAUACCUUGCUGUUUUGACGUUACCAACAGAAUAAGCACCGGCUAACUUCGUG
rnacentral:rRNA from 1 species